UACAGAGGGUGCGAGCGUUGUCCGGAAUCACUGGGCGUAAAGGGCGCGUAGGCGGCCUGAUAAGUAGGGGGUGAAAUCCUGUGGCUUAACUGCAGGGCUGCCUCCUAGACUGUUAGGCUCGAGCAUAGUAGAGGCAGGUGGAAUUCCGGGUGUAGCGGUGGAAUGCGUAGAGAUCCGGAAGAACACCGGUGGCGAAGGCGGCCUGCUGGGCUAUGGCUGACACUGAGGCGCGACAGCGUGGGGAGCAAACAGG
rnacentral:rRNA from 1 species